CCCUUGACUGACUGUUUCUUGUGUUAAACCACUAGCUCAGAUCUUUCUUAAUUUUCUAGAAAAGAGAGUAUCUUUACCCUGCAGAUGAGAGUCGCAAUGCCCACUCUGUUUCAACAGAGGGCAGUAGGGAACAGCUAAUAGCUGACUUUUCCAAGCUCAGAGAAAAAGUGUAUUUAGGUGAUCUCAAGGCUGGGGUCCUAAAAUAUAGCGCAUCAUGCUUCAUGUGUUCAUGAACUUGAGAGAUCUCUGUGGAGGGAGGGAGGUCCCUGGACAGUCAGCAACUCUUAGAUGACUCCUCGCGAACAACAGUUUAGCUCUGUGCAACUCACGGAAGGCUUCGUGGAGGAGUUUGGCCUUGAAGAAUGACUAUGAGUUGGCAAAAUAGCUUCGUCCACAGACAACAGCAUGAACAGAAACAUAGCAACCCAUGGCAAAUCUAGGGGACCACAAGAAGGUAGGUAUUAGCCGAGCAUAGGAUUGGAGUGGGGACACCAGUGACAGAUGCGCUCAGACGCUAUGUGCCACCCUGACGGGUACAGAUGCCACCUCCAAGCUUUGAAUAUCACCCUGAAGACAAUGGGAAGUCACUGAAGGAUUUUGAGCAGGGAGGUAACUUGAUCUGUUAGCCACUCAUGGUUUUGUUUUUAACUGUUUUUAACCAGUAUUGCCAUUUUGGAUUUUAGCCCAUCAGGGGGUAUAUAUACAGAUAUCUCGUAUUUUGAAUUUGCAUCUCCCCUGGUAAGUAAUGAUGUUGCCUAUUUUUUCAUGUGCUUAUUUGGCCAUUUGGAUAUCCUCUUCUGUGAACUGUCUGUUUAAAUCCUUUGCUCACUUUUUAAUUGUGUUGUCUGUCUUCUCACUGAUGUGUAGGCAUUCCCUAUGGAUUCUUUGUCGUGGCUGCUCAUUUGUUAAAUGAUGUCUUUUGAUGAACAAAAGCUUGGACCCAAGGCGACAUCUAGGGCAACUCAGCCGGAGGAACCUUUGAGCUUCAGAAAGAAAAGGGGUUUCCCCUGCAAGGGAAGAGGGAAGGAAGGCGGCCUUCCUGAAGCCUCCGGAGCCAGGGGAGAUGACCUGCAGUCCUCAUCUCAAGGAAAAGGCUGGAAAACAAGGUCUGGGCUAACCUGAGGUUCCCACCUAUUCUGGAACGAGAUGGUUGUUGGGUGGCAUGCUUUAGAAACUGGACUCUACCA
rnacentral:lncRNA from 1 species